GCAUAUCAAUAAGCGGAGGAAAAGAAACUAACAAGGAUUCCCCUAGUAACUGCGAGUGAAGCGGGAAGAGCUCAAAUUUAAAAUCUAAUAGUCUAUGACUGUUCGAGUUGUAAUCUAGAGAAGCACUAUCCGUGCUGGACCAUGUAUAAGUCUCCUGGAAUGGGGCGUCAUAGAGGGUGAGAAUCCCGUCUUUGACAUGGACUACCAGUGCAUUGUGAUGUGCUCUCAACGAGUCGAGUUGUUUGGGAAUGCAGCUCUAAAUGGGUGGUAAAUUCCAUCUAAAGCUAAAUAUUGGCGAGAGACCGAUAGCGAACAAGUACCGUGAGGGAAAGAUGAAAAGAACUUUGAAAAGAGAGUUAAACAGUACGUGAAAUUGUUGAAAGGGAAACGCUUAAAGUCAGUCACAUUGAUCAGGGAUCAACCUUGCUUUUGCUUGGUGUAUUUUCUGAUCAAUGGGUCAGCAUCAAUUUUAAUCAGUGGACAAAGGCUGAGGGAAUGUGGCAUCAUUUGAUGUGUUAUAGCCCUCUGUCAUAUACAUUGGUUGGGAUUGAGGAACUCAGCAUGCCGCAAGGCCGGGUUUUAACCACGUUCAUGCUUAGGAUGCUGGCAUAAUGGCUUUAAUCGACCCGUCUUGAAACACGGACCA
rnacentral:rRNA from 1 species